GUGUCUAAAUACAAUUAGUAAGGAAAACCGUAUUCGGUCUUGCUAAUCGCUCGACUGGUUUGCUUCUAGUCAAUAUGGGACGAAGCAUUAUUUGGGCCUUGGCCUUUUAAUGUUCGAGUCUGAUAUGAAGCGACAAUUUUUGAAUGGGUACAGGUCGUCCCUUUGAAUUCAUGAGUCCACUACUUUUCGGGCUGUAGAGCUUGGGUGAAGCGAUCUGCCCA